rnacentral:sRNA from 1 species
ACUGAAGAAGAAGAAGAAGAAGAAAAACAAAACAA